CAAAGGCAUGGUCCCGACCUUAUUAUCAGCUGUAACCCAACUUACACAUGCAAGUCUCCGCAUCCCUGUGAAUAUGCCCUAAAUCCCCUGCCCGGGGAUAAGGAGCGGGCAUCAGGCACAAAAUUUAGCCCAAGACGCCUAGCCAAGCCACACCCCCAAGGGAAUUCAGCAGUGAUAAACAUUAAGCCAUAAGUGAAAACUUGACUCAGUCAGGGUUAAGAGGGCCGGUAAAACUCGUGCCAGCCACCGCGGUUAAACGAGAGGCCCUAGUUGAUAAUAUUACGGCGUAAAGGGUGGUUAAGGAAAAUAAAUUAAUAAAGCCAAAUGGCCCUUUGGCCGUCAUACGCUCCUAGGUGUCCGAGGCCCGAUUUUACGAAAGUAGCUUUAACAUAAUUAACCUGACCCCACGAAAGCUGAGAAACAAACUGGGAUUAGAUACCCCACUAUGCUCAGCCAUAAACCUAGACGCCCUAGUACAAUAGGCGUCCGCCAGGGUACUACGAGCAUCAGCUUGAAACCCAAAGGACCUGACGGUGCCUUAGACCCCCCUAGAGGAGCCUGUUCUAGAACCGAUAACCCCCGUUAAACCUCACCACUUCUAGCCAUCCCAGCCUAUAUACCGCCGUCGCCAGCUUACCCUGUGAAGGCACCAAAAGUAAGCAAAAUGGGCACAACCCAGAACGUCAGGUCGAGGUGUAGCGUACGAAGUGGGAAGAAAUGGGCUACAUUUUCUAUUAUAGAAUAUUACGAAUCAUGCAACAUGAAAUAGUGUUUGAAGGAGGAUUUAGUAGUAAAAAGGAAGCAGAGUGUCCUUUUGAACCCGGCUCUAAGGCGCGUACACACCGCCCGUCACUCUCCCCUGUCAAAACGCAGUAACGCUACAUAACACAAAAGCACUGACAAGGGGAGGCAAGUCGUAACAUGGUAAGUGUACCGGAAGGUGCACUUGGAUUAAACU
rnacentral:ncRNA from 2 species